rnacentral:lncRNA from 10 species
GAAGAAGGCCAGCUUAUGAAGAACUGAGUGUCCAUUACAGCUCUUCGAGUAGACGCGGCCCUUCAACAUAUUUCUCUUUUAUUACAGAUGCCAGCUUCAGAAAUGAAAAUCGCUGUGUGAGAAAAACUGAGCUAGCUUCUAAUGCAAUUUUUAUUCAGAACCCUGCUCUGCAGCUGUCAGACCUUUCUACCUCCUGCAGCUACUGAAGAGUGGAUGCAUGCACACAAUGCUGCCUUCCUCCUGCUGGGGACACUGCACAUCUGAAAACAGCACAUUUUCAUGCUUCAUAUUUGUCAGCUUCAUGGAAUAAGAAAUCACAACUCCUGGAUUUUACUAUUUGCUUUAAUUCAAGCACUGUUUCACCUAUAUUAGGUAUGUUUUAUACCUAUAGGAUUCUGAAUUCAUGCAAAAAUGCUCUCUCAGAGUCUGUUGUGAAGCAGUUGCAUUAAGUAAAACAUAAUUCUCAUUUAUAAAUCUUCCUGUGUCCGAUUUCCCUUGAUACUCCCAAUGACAAUGCAUUGCUCCUCACUUUCAUCUCCCUUGGAAUUGGGGGUUGUGUGAGUCAUCUCAUUGACAGGAAAAAUGAUUGCAUGAUAUUUUAUUUGCUUGUAUGUGUUUGAUUUAUUUAAUCAAUAUGAAUUCAUCAAGAUCACACCUAUUUGCUUAGAAAAACAAGACUAACUUGAUGGUCAUGUUCUCCACCCAGCCUCCAGGAAAUAAGAUAUAAUAAAAUACAAAGUUCCUAAUUUCAAUGCUACUAGCAAUUUCUGAGUACCGACCAUUUUCACAACAGUACUUUGGGUACAUAUAUGUACAUGUGUAGAUAUUUUUAAGAUUUUGUCCUGAACUCUAUAAUUAUACACCAUUAUUUUACUUUGCUUCUCUUUAUUUGUUGAAAUAUUUUAUGUGUUUGCUAAUUUAUUUUCUCUCUCAUGAGACAACUGUUUACCA